rnacentral:tRNA from 1 species
GGGGAUUUAGCUCAGUGGUAUAAGUGCCUGCCUGGCAAGCACGAGGUCAUGAGUUCAAUCCCCG